rnacentral:sRNA from 1 species
CCUUAGCCCUAAUAGAAGUGGAAAUCCUUUUCCUUUUAUGAAAAUAAAAGGAAAAGAUUGCAACGUAUAGCAGGAAAUAGC